rnacentral:lncRNA from 1 species
CACUGCCAAUUAUCCUUAAAAGAGUCCCACACGGUUUUGCAUCAAUGGAAUUGUGAUAUACUUUUUUUCAUUAAAAGUUGGAACAAUCGACAAACUGUGAUUACCCCAUCUCUUCUCAGAUGGUUGUUCGCCUCAAUCCCCGAUUGUCGGUGGUUGUGGCCCUGAGCAACAUUUCAAUUUGGGAACUUAAUUUCCUCUCUUUUGUUUAUCUUCCAAAUUCUCUCUAUUCCUUGCUAUUGUGUUCCAAAUUUCCAUUAGCCCCAAAUGAACCUCAAAUCCCUAACGCAUACGGAUCCAGCACUCAAGACUCUAUUUUGCCGUCAAUUUGCCCACUUUCGAUUGAGAAGUCCGACCGAGCAGUUGUGUCUGCUAUCCACCUCAAGAGCGAAUCGUCACUCAUUUAGUUGAAGAUGUGUGGAACUAAGACUUUGUAGGUUAAUUGGUGAUAAUUUUUCAGUUUUAUUUUGGUUAUUUUAAUGUUGUUUGUUUGCGUUUAUUAUUUAGGGUUUUUGAAGGUUUGGAAUAAUUGUUGUUUUGUGGAGCGGAAUUGACGGUGUGGGUUGUCGGCUGUUUCUGGUUUUCAGGCAGCUACGGCGGGUCAUCUCUCACGUAGGCUUGGUUUACUCCACUAGCCACCUUUGACCUCUAUUGUUUGGCCUUAUGUGGAGGAUUUUCUUUUUAGGUUGAAACUCUUUCAUGUUUUUUCAUUUAUGUAAUAUUUUGUAUUUGCUGCUAAAGAACCAUUACUCAUGUUUUGUUAGUGUAAGCGGC